rnacentral:misc_RNA from 1 species
CAUGAGGUGAGGGUGCCC